rnacentral:tRNA from 1 species
GGGCGAUUAGUUAAGUGGCAUAACAGCGGCCUCCAAAUCCGCUAUCGGGGGUUCGAUUCCCUCAUCGCCCGCAA